AGAAUCAACGCUGGCGGCGUGCCUAACACAUGCAAGUCGAACGCGAAAGUCCCGAAAGGGAUAAGUAGAGUGGCAAACGGGUGAGUAACACGUGGGUGACCUGCCUUCGAGCGGGGGAUAACGGUCCCGAAAGGGACGCUAAUACCGCAUAACAUCCUGCCUUUUAAGAGGUGGAGAUCAAAGCCGGGGACCGCAAGGCCUGGCACUUGAAGAGGGGCCCGCGUCUGAUUAGCUAGUUGGUGGGGUAACGGCCUACCAAGGCAACGAUCAGUA
rnacentral:rRNA from 1 species